rnacentral:lncRNA from 1 species
AAAAUUUUAUAAUUUUAUAAUUGCCAACUUCAUCAAAUACUUUUUGGCCCAGACCAAUUGAAAACCAUUGUCAAGACCACAAAUUAUCGAAAGACCAAGAUUAAGAUUUAAAACAACAAUUUGGUAGGAUAAGGACAACCAAUGAAGACAUUUAGACACAGAAUAAACGGAAGCAAAAUAGAAACACUUAUAAAUCUUUUACCACUACAAAUAAUAUUUUAAGGAAUGAAAAGAUAUUUAAACUGCCACUGCCAAAGUAAAUUUGGCAGAUUAUUCCAAAAUAUGUUCUUUGUAUGCUCGAAAUCAAUGGGAUCCCAAUUCAAAAUAUGGUAACAAACUUACAGUGGAACAAGAUGUGAUUAAAAGAGGACAAAAAAGAGGACGUUUCUAUUUCAAAGCCAAUGUAACAUCAAACAAAAAAUGUAUGAUCUUU